CACAACAGAGAAACUUGAUUGUGGGUUAGGUUUCCAGGCAUGCAACUUAUUUUAACAAUUUCUAUUACCAUAAAAAGUAGCUCUUAGCAGUCACUUUCUGUUGGCUUUGUUUUUUGUUUGUUUGUUUGUGUUUUUGCAGUGUUGAAGCUUAACCUUAAGAUACGUACUAGAUCGAAAACAAAAUAUCACCACGAGGGAUGUAUCACUGGCUUACAGGAUGUGAUCUGGAUACCACCAACAACAGUUGCCUCACAAUGGAAAGCCUAAGGAUUCUGUAACUACAGUCCAUGAGACUGCAGUCUCCAUAGUCCCAGUCUGGUGCUGGAGGUCCGGAAGACUCCUGGAGAGCUGCUGGUUUUCAGUCUGUGUUGGAACCCUGAAGAAAUUGGAUUUAAUGCUGGCAGCAACAGAGUAGGCAAACUUGCCAGUGAGGAUGAGGGCAAGCAAACAAAAAAACAAUUUCUCUCUUCCCUGCCCUUUUCUGUGGGCUGCCACCAGCUGUAGAGGGGAUUAAGGAAAUCCUGCACUCCAGAUGGUGACGACAUUAGAAGAUGGAUGGGACUUGUUAGGAAAUGACUAAGUCAUGG
rnacentral:lncRNA from 1 species